rnacentral:rRNA from 1 species
CAAUAGCGUAUAUUAAAGUUGUUGCGGUUAAAAGCUCGUAGUUGGAUUUCUGCCUGAGGCAGCCGGUCCGCACUUAGUGCGUGUAUCUGGUUUGGUUUGGGCAUCCUCUUGGGGAUCGUUGCUGUGCUUAGUUGCAUGGUGCGGAAUUCAAGACGUUUACUUUGAGGAAAUUAGAGUGGUUACGGCAAGCUAUCGCUUUGAAUACAUUAGCAUGGAAUAAUAAUAUAGGGCGUAAGUUCUAUCUUGUUGGUUUCUAGAACAUACGCAAUGAUUAAUAGGGACAAUUGGGGGCAUUCGUAUUAACGCGUCAGAGGUGGAAUUCUUAGAUUGCGUUACGACGAACUACUGCGAAAGCAUUUGCCAAGGAUGUUUUCAUUGAUCAAGAACGAAAGUAUGGGGAUCGAAGACGAUCAGAUACCAU